GCCAGCAUGGCAUAGUGGUUUGAGUGCUGAACCAUGACUCUGGAGAUCAGGGUUCGAUUCCCAGCCCAGCCA